CUUAAUCAUACAGACUGGCAUUUUUAUGGUGGAGGAUUCAGAAGAUAAACCUGUCUGCUUUUGGAACAGGUUCACUUCAUUAUUCGACCUAUUGAUUUACCUGGGGAAGCCAUCAUUCCACUAGUCUGUUACGAAAGUGCUAGUUACAAACGACACAAUCUUCUCGAAAGUUUUCGAAGUCGACUAAAGAAGGAGAAUUUAUUGCGAGCAGAACAGGAUUUGACAUUCGUUUUCUAAUCAAUGAACAACUGGAUGCGUAAAGCUCAACAGAUGACACGGGGGUUUUCUUGUCAUUGCAACUAUAUUAUGCUUCAAACUGACGCUGCCGGUUGAGACUGGUUUGGGUCUUAAAAUCCACUGGACUCAUCAGACUAUUCCGUUUCCUGCAUGCUGAUACACUUUGGAUCCGGCGUCAAGUACCGAAUACUCGACGGAUCGUGUGAUAAUUUAGAGCAAACAUUUUGGGGCAUCUCUCGUUCGACAUUUCAGCGCAUUCUACCUCCCGCUUAAAUCGACGGUUUGCAACUUAACCAUAAAUUUGUUUAAGUUUGCAGAGGAAGAGAAGAAUAUUUUCAAAAAAGCCGACUGUGCUUCAAACGGUUUGAAAUGAAAGAUUUAUUCAUUCACAAAGAAACGAGUCAAACGACUCGCAUGUCAAAUGACCCAUCCCCAGCAACGUCAACUUGCAGAAGGAAAGGCCAGUUUCCAUGUACAAUUGAAGGUCAUGGAGAUCAUUACGUAAAACGUGUUAUGCAGUGAUGUAGAGGUUGGGUGAGAACAACACGUGUUGCA